UCCCCGUUCUCUCCGGUCUGCCGGGUCGGUUUUGUUUUUGCCGGUUAACAGCCUCGGAAAUGUGUCGGUAGUUUUGAAUCCUCUUGUCGGCCCGCUUUGUGUUGGAGGAGAGUCAGUCUGAGGUUAAAACCACGCGGUUGCUGUCCGGUCUACCUGAACAGGUUGUCAUCAGUAUGAUGGUAGGUAGAAGCCUCUACUGGGAGAGGUUAGGCUGACCUCCAGAUACAUCUUUGGAACAUUGCAUCACAGUUUCUUAAAGUG
rnacentral:lncRNA from 1 species